GGAGAGGUAUCGAAGCGGUCAUAACGAGGCGGUCUUGAAAACCGUUUGGGAGCAAUCCCGCAUGGGUUCGAAUCCCAUCCUCUCCGCCA
rnacentral:tRNA from 2 species